AUGGCAUCGAUAGCUGCCAGGUAGAUUCGUACAAAGUUGCCCGCAAGGUUUUUCUAUCGCACACUCAUCCACAUCUAUUAGAUUAGGAAAAAAAGGUAACACUUAGAUAAUAAAAACGUACUUUUAGAUAAUAAAAAUUAACGAUAUUUUACGUUUUUAAGUUCUGAAAAAUUUCGUCAGAAUUUCUGCUGUAUGAUUGUUUAAUAUUAAAAAAAAGAGUAACAUCUUAGUGAGUUGUGUAUGAAAAAUAGUUAUAUAUUCUUUGUUUUAUUCUUACAUAGCAAUUAGACAACAAUUGAUUUAUUUGAUUUAUUGUACUUUCUGUAUUCCUUUCAUGAAAUCCAAGCCAACACAACAUUUCCUCUGAAAUCCUUAAAAGUGUUGUUUGAUUAAACUACCAGACAAUAACGUAUAAUCAGGUACGAUCGGCCCUGAGCAACAACGUAUGAGCGUCGCCUCGUUAAAGCACAAAGAACAUUCGAUCGAUUCGUUCGUUACGAGUGCCUUCUCGUGCCUGGUAUCGUCAGACGUAAUUAAAUCGACGUAUAUCCCUUGGGACACGUGCAUUUGCCAGGCAAUGUGCAAAUUCCACCAUUCAAGCACGGUGUUGGGCACGUGGCUGAAGAAUAAUUAGAUUGAGAUUAGUCGACUCGUGGAGUUGCGAAUAAUGCCUGGCUGUGUAAGAGCGUCGGUAAAGAAAGAAAUAGAUUAUCGAAUUAACAUUUAAUAUUUUAUAUCAUUUAAUAAUUUCAGAUAAUAUUUUGAAUUUAUUAAUUAAGUUUAAUAUAUUAAAUUAAUCUAUUAAUCAAGUUUACAGCAAUUUUAGCAUAAGUGAUAUAUAUUGGGUUGAUCAAAAAGUCCUUACAGAUUUUUUUAGCAUAAUGUAAACGCUAAACGCUGCACUACUAAGUGUUGCGUUUAAAUUUUGCUAAAAAAUUACAGACUUUUCCGUCAACAAACAUCGAUUUAUUAUACAAUAUUUGAAAAUUUUCAGCUAUUACGUCGAAUACGUACGGUUGUUGCAACCAAAACUCAGAUGGGUUAUUUGCGACCAUCCUGGACAGCAAAAGAAACUGGAAGGCAACUCAGUAUAUACUAAUCUGGAAUAUUUCAUAAAUUUAUUUCUAGAAUUUUAUUUAAAAAUGUACGAAAUGAAUAUAUUACUAAAACCGGAA